rnacentral:rRNA from 1 species
UAACUUUCAACAACGGAUCUCUUGGCUCUCGCAUCGAUGAAGAACGCAGCGAAAUGCGAUAAGUAAUGUGAAUUGCAGAAUUCAGUGAAUCAUCGAAUCUUUGAACGCACCUUGCACCUUUUGGUAUUCCGAAAGGUAUGCCUGUUUGAGUGUCUU